rnacentral:rRNA from 1 species
UACGUAGGGUGCAAGCGUUGUCCGGAAUUAUUGGGCGUAAAGAGCUCGUAGGCGGUCUGUCACGUCGGCUGUGAAAACCCGAGGCUCAACCUCGGGCCUGCAGUCGAUACGGGCAAACUAGAGUACUGCAGGGGAGACUGGAAUUCCUGGUGUAGCGGUGAAAUGCGCAGAUAUCAGGAGGAACACCGGUGGCGAAGGCGGGUCUCUGGGCAGUAACUGACGCUGAUGCGCGACAGCGUGGGGAGCAAACAGG